rnacentral:piRNA from 1 species
UGCGCUCUCUUGAUGGUACCUCGUAGC